rnacentral:lncRNA from 1 species
ACAAAGCAAACAAAAACAUGAAGAGAGGAAAAGACACCUUCUUCAACAAAUGGUGCUGGGAUAACUGGCUAGCCACAUGUAAGAGAAUGAAACUGGAUCCUCAUCUCUCACCUUAUACAAAAAUUGACUCAAGAUGGAUUAAGGACUUAAAUCUAAGGCCUAAAACUAUAAAGAUUCUAGAAGAUAACAUUGGAAAAACCCUUCUAGACAUUGGCUUAGGCAAUAAUUUCAUGAAUAAGAACCCAAAAACAAAUGCAAUUAAAAAAAGAUAAAUAGUUGGUACUUGGUUAAACUAAAGAGCUUUUGCACAGCAAAAGGAACUGUCAGCAGAGUAAACAACACACAGAGUGGAAGAAAAUCUUCACAAUCUAUACAUCUGACAAAGGACUAAUAUCCAGAAUCUACAAUGAACUCAAACAAAUCAGUAAGAAAAAAAACAAACAAUCCCACCAAAAACUAGACUAAGGACACGAAUAGACAAUUCUCAAAAGAAGCAUACAAAUGGCCGAAAAACAUAUGAAAAAAUGCUCAACAUCACUAAUGAUCAGGGAAAUGCAAAUCAAAACCACAAUGCAUUACCACCUUACUCCUGCAAGAAUGGCCAUAAUUGAAAAGUCAAAAAACAGUAGCUGUUGGCAUGGAUGUGGUGAUCAGGGAACACUUCUACACUGCUGGUGGGAAUGUAAACUAUUACAGCCACUAUGGAAAACAGUGUGGAGAUUCCUUAAAGAACUAAAAUUUAGUUCUAGAACUAACUUUUGAUCUAGAACUACCAUUUGAUCCAGCAAUCCUGCUACUGGGUAUCUACCCAGAGGAAAAGAAGUCAUUAUAUGAAAAAGAUUAUGGGCACAAGCAUGUUUAUAGUGGCACAAUUCGCAAUUGCAAAAUUAUGGAACCAAUCCAAACGCCCAUCAAUCAACAAGUGGAUAAAGAAACUGUGGUAUAUGAUGGAAUACUAAUCAGCCAUAAAAAGGAAUGAAUUAACGGACUUUGCAGUGACCUGGAUGAGACUGGAGACUAUUAUUCUAAGUGAAGUAACUCAGGAAUGGAAAACCAAACAUUGUAUGUUCCCACUGAUAUGUGGGAGCUAAACUACGAGGACGCAAAGGCAUAAGAAUGAUACAAUGGACUCUGGGGACUUGGGAGGAAAGGUGAGAAGGGGGCGAGGGAUAAAAGACUACAAAUAGGGUGCAGUGUAUACUGCUGGGGUGACGGGUGCACCAAAAUCUUAUAAAUCACCACUGAAGAAAUUACUCAUGUAACCAAAUACCACCUGUACCCCAAUAACUUAUGGAAAAAUAAAAAAUUAAAAAAUACAUUAAAAAUAAAUAAAUAAAAAAGAAUCACUCAUGUCUCUUGGAGGAAAUUCAUCUCUUAAGUACCUUGAAGUGUCCUCAGACAUGCAAGAAGAUGUACCUUAUUGUGCCCUUCAAACAUCUAAGAUAAUGAUUUGCAACAGACUUUCUCCCUUAAGAGAAAAAUAGGCAUAGCUCUAUAGGAAUAUUUUCUUGUCCAUUCUUCAAGGAGUUUUGUGUGGCUGGAUUGCAUAUUAUAAUUGGCUCAAGCAUUUUUAUGAGCUAAGUAGGGUCAGGUGCAAUCUCAUUUACAAAUAAGUAACUCAGUUGUCUGAGAGAUUGUGCUGUCACAGGGUUUUCAUACAGUUCUACUGAGUCAGGCAUUCAGACACUGUUGACUGCCUAGCCCAACUGUCAUACCGCACUUCUUCCUGGCUAACAAAACUCUGAUUUCAUUCAUGUGGCCAUGUGUACAGGCCCAGAUAAUCAACUGUGGUUGGUGUGAACCAGUCAUGACAACCCCAUGUCCUUUCAUCAGUUAUUUACUCAGAGUUGAACAGGUGAUCCAGUUCUGACCAUUGAGACAUAUGGAGAAGUUACUGUGGAGUUCUGUAAAAGGAAUCUCUGCCCCCAUCCCCACCUCCAUUAACACAGAGAUACAGGGGAAGAAACUCAUUUUACUUCCUAACCUGC